GCAGCCCGGGCCCACUGGUUAGCACUCUGGACUUAUAACCGGAGGUUGCCGGUUCGAGCCCCGACCGGUGGGCCGCA
rnacentral:tRNA from 1 species